rnacentral:rRNA from 1 species
UCCUACGGGGGGCAGCAGUAGGGAAUUUUCGUCAAUGGGCGCAAGCCUGAGCGAGCAAUGCCGCGUGAACGAGGAAGGUCUUCGGAUCGUAAAGUUCUGUUGAAGGGGAAAAAGAGCGGAGAGAGGAAAUGGUCUCCGAUUGAUAUUACCCUUCGAGGAAGUCACGGCUAACUACGUGCCAGCAGCCGCGGUAAUACGUAGGUGGCGAGCGUUAUCCGGAAUGAUUGGGCGUAAAGGGUGCGUAGGCGGCCUGCUAAGUCUGGAGUGAACGGUACCGGCUCAACCGGUACAGGCUCUGGAAACUG